rnacentral:lncRNA from 1 species
CUCUCAACAAGUUCAAGAUGGUAAAAUAAUUAAAAAACAACAGGGACGACACCAUCACCGCUGCCACAACCUCCACCUCCUCUCUUUUUCCUGCACUUCACCUCCACCCACAUCGUCAUAGCCUUGGAUCCACAUCCUGCCAUCGCCAGUGCUACCUCCUCUUUGUGUGGUCAUCACUGACAAGGUUUAAAAGGCUGCCAAGAACAAUAUGAAUGGAGCAGUAAGUACUAGUCCAAUAGAGAAUCGGAUCAUGACCAGCCCAUUUCAAGCGAUGCAGGCCAGUUCAAGAGUUUUUUAAUUAAAAAGCCACCUUCUCUCAAUCACUACACCAAACUCUGCGUCCCUUGCUCAUGCCUGCACCUGUGCCCUAGGCCACCCUUCGCCAACCCAUGGUAUGCAAUUUUGAAUGGUACCACCCGGUAUGAGCGGUACAUACCGGUCCGACGGUGUACCGAUACGUGGACCGCUAUAGUG